GCGCGCGCACGGGGCGGAGCCGCGCCAGGGCUCGGGGUGGUGCACGUGGCUCAGUGGCGACCCGGCUUGCUCCGUCCCAGGCGGGUGUCUCAGCUGUGUGCUGUCCUCUCCCCGGCCCACGGCCGCGAGGACGGAGCUGGGCCUCUCGCCUUGCUCCCCUUGUCGAACCGCCUGCUCUGGGCGCUCCGGGGGUCUUAGGAGCCUCCAUUCUUUCAUUCAUUCAUUCGCUCGAGGUUGAUCAUAUGAAGGGCCCAGCCCUGGGCUGGGUGCUAAAGAUGUAGUGACGGGCAAAGGGGAAAGGCCCCUUACAGACCAGCGUUCAAGGCGGUAACAGGUACAGGGGCGUCGCAUUCAGGCUCAUUUACUUAUUACUGCUGUUUUUCGUUUGCACUUGAAAUAUCUUGCAUCCAUACUUUUUACGUACUCUGUGCCCUUUUGGCAUACUUUAUACCCAAGAGUUCCUGUACAUCAUUGCCUCGAGUGUAGACACCAAAUCCUGUGAUUUAUGGGCUAUCUAUCCAGGGUGAUCUGGACCCUAAGUCAAUUGCUGUCCCGCUUGUGGAAUUAAAACCACACACAGACACAACACAAACACAAGCGCGCGUAUUUACAAACGUGAACGUAAAAAUACAGCGCGCGAGAGAAUUGAGAGAUUGAGGCUGAGAUUCGCGGUGAUGGUUGGAAGAAGGGCGCAUCCUAGCCUGGGUUCGGGAAAGCAGAAAUCUGGAGGAUGAACGCGGCCAGGGGAUCUGUCGGGGUCAAAUCCAAAGCAAGGCACUGACUCUGGAGCCCGACAGAGGCCGGCCAGGAUGUGCCAGGCUCCUGGCGCUCUGCCCACUGCUUCGCGAAGUUGAAGCUGCCGUGUUCAGCCAGGCUGUAGCGUGCGGCAGGUGGGACUCAGCGCGGACCUGGCGAUAUGGACGGGCGCGGAAGGGGUUCCCGGGGCUGCCCCUCAUCUUCCUAGUGGGGUUGGAAUCCGGGUUCACCGAGGGCAGGUUCUCCGCCCUGCUAGGGUAUGCUCUACCCAAGCCCGUCCUGGAAUCCCCAACAGCCACGCCUGUCUGCUUCUCCAUCUCCUUUGUUUCUUCCAGACUUGAUAGGAAACCCAUCUCCGACUCCCGCCUUCAUUCUGAGCCCUACCGGGUCACUGGGUGGGCAGGAGAAAGGAAAGGGGGCGGGGGGGGGCAGCCGCUGAAGAGGCAGCAGUUUUACUUUAAAUGAAAAUCACACGAAAAUAUUUUUCCAACUCCUGGCUUUUUUGAGACAUCACCAGAAAGCACUGCCAGCUGUGAUUACGUCUAAUGUGAGAGCAUGAACUAAUUUAAGAGGUGAGAGCUGAAUAAUGAACCUACAUCCAGUGGAGCAGCCAAGAGUAGCAGCUCUCCCCGUGGAAGGCACCGGGAAAAACACCCCUGUAGAACUAACCUCAUACCCUUCCACAAAUGUUUACCAAGUGCCAGCCUUGUCUGCCCGGUUGCAACCAAGAACAAACCUGGAACCUGUUUGCUCGGAGCACACAGCAGGGUUGAGAUCACCUCCAGGGAUGUGGUUGCCUCCUGGUCUCUCAUUGUGGUAAGGUGAUGCCCAGCCCUGAACUGCCUUCUAUAUGCCAGUGACCCUCCAUUUUGUAUCUCCCAUCUGAGCCUUUUUCUGAGCCAGACCUGUCAUCCUAUGGGCCUAUUGGACCUUUUUGCUUAUGUAUCUUUAAGGUACAAUUAACCUUCCAGAUCCUUCUUUUCCUAUCCCAGUGACAAUGACUGUGGCCACCUAGAUAUGCAGUCUAAGGACCCCCACACCUAACCUGAUUGUAUAUGUCCUGUUGUUUAAGCCAUUCUCCUUAGACUGUUAGGGGCUCAUUAUCUCCACCUGGGCAACUUACAGCAUCUUCCUAAUGUAUCAUUCAGGGAUUAGUGAAGGAUCGCCUGAUACUGUUUAUUCUUUCACUUGAUGAAUAGCCAUCAAAGCCCUGAAAUAUGUAACCUCCACUUUUCUCCCAUGUAAGUGAGAUUUCAAAUGUCGUAUUACCUCCGAUUCUCCCAUCCCUUUUUCAUGUAGUAUAUAUUCAAAAAAUAAUGAAAAACAAUUUAGUGUUAAUAGUCCCAAAUUGUGAGGACUAAAGGAGAUUAUGUACAUGAAAAGGAAAAUCCAUUAGAGACUUCAAAAGCAGUCAUGUUUAUUUUUAGGCUUAUUAUGUUUUGGAGUCAGAAUCCUUUUAGCUGCAAGUGACAACACCAAUUCAAACUGGCUUAAGGAUUUCAUUUGGUUGAUGCAUAAAGCCUUGGAUAGAUCUUGCCAUUUAAGGCAUGAUUGGCCCUGUCAGUCAAGGUUACCAGGAUCUCUUUCCAGUAUUGGCAUCAUUUUCAGACAACCUGUUUCCAUAUAUGAGGCCCUUAGAGGUAUUACUAAGUCCUAGCAAGAAAAAAAAAGCAGUAUUUUUAGUCAAUAUUUGUAGCUGGAGUCCCAGAACCAUUCUUACAAGGGCAGCUGCAGUCACUUACCCUCUCUGGAGGUAGAGAAUGGACAGUUUGGUUGACUAAUCUUGGGCCUGGUCGCCAUCCCCUGCAAAGGGGUUUGUUGUGAGCUGCACAUAUUCUGGAAUAGAGGGACUCUCUAAAGAAAAUUAGAGAAGGGAUGCAGGACAGGCAGAAACCAUGAUGUCUACCUUAGCCCUUCUUACAGGUUUAACUGCAGUACAUUCCACACAGUAAGAAUGGUGAUGAGGAUGACAGAGGAAUAGAAGCAAUAGAUAUGUGUGUGGCUGUGAUCUUCAAGACCUCAGCUAAAUAGGAAGUCAGGUCUAUCAACCAUGAUGUUAUCUGAGGUUCUCUUUGAAGUCUAGAUGCACCUGAUACGGUAGGACUACAUGAAUCUAAAUCAACGGUCAUAACAUUUUAUUCUAAAAAUUUUUUUGCCAGUGUUCUGUUGGAAUUUUUUUUCUUUUCUUUUCUUUUCUUUUGUACCAAGCAUCAAACUCAGGACCUUGCACUUGCCAGGCAGGCGCAGGUGCCACUGAGCUAAAUCCUCAGCUCCUAAUUUUUAUCUUUUUAUUUUUUAGGUUCUCAGGAAGGUGAAGGUAAAAUUUUCAGUUCUUUCUGGACAUAUACCUAAAAUUCCUUAUUAUUCAUCAACUGAUGAAAAUUUGAGAGAGUCUAAAGAGUAAAAAGUAGUUUCAGAAAUGUACUGACUGUAGAAUUUAACUUUCUAAGGCUUUUCAGGUGUUGAAAUACUGGUAAAGUAUUAAAAAGCCACUUCUCUGAAGCUUUUAAAAUAACAAAGAUUUAGGAAACUGCAAGAUUACAAAUAAUGAAUUUAUACCACUACUAUUAUAUCUUUUACUUUUGGCUUUAAAUAUGGUAUCACAUUGUGGUGCAGUCAAAGGUUUAUUUCCUCUCCUGUGCUCUGAAUUUCCCACCACAGUGCAGUCUAAGAAAUGAAUGUAGCCGCAGCCUCCACCGAUGCUGUAUUCAUGGUUGCCCCGCUCCCCUCCUACUCCAUACCCUGGGAAAAAACGGCAACCUCCAUGGGAAUGAGCGCAUUUUCAGGAAAAGGGGGGUAUUUUCUUAAAGAAUGUGAAACAAACUCAUCCUUUUAUUAAAUCAAAAUGGAUUCGCUAAUGUUUAUACACAUCAAAUGGAGUUUUAUCUCUUUCCUCUUGUUCAAAGGCCCAGACAGUGCCAUUCCCUAGGGCUUGGUUCAUUUGCUCCUAAAGCAGAAGAGACAGUCCACUUUGUUCUGAAGAUUGUUAAUUUUAGGAUAUCAAGGGUCAAAGUCAUUUCAGGCUAAUUCCUAAAGUUAUACUAUAAAAUACAGGAAUGAUUCUAAGUUGUACAAAGUAUGAAAUACUGUAAUAUUUUAACUUUGACCAAAACCUUUACCUUCCUGGGUGUGUCUUUUUUGCCUAUUCAGAUUCAUAUUAAAUGCAACAUUUUUGCUGUUUAAAUUUUAAAAGUUAUGUUUAAAAAUUAACCUUAUAAUUGAACAUUUUUACUAAUACAGGAAAAAGACAGGAUUACUUUUUAAUGAAGGCCAGGUUUGUGGUAACAUUUUUAUUCUUUUAAAAAAAUUUUUCUUUUGAUCUUAAAAAAUAAAAGAACACAUUUAAAAUGCCUUUAGUUCUUACGUUAAUACCAAAUUAUGUAUUUUUUUAGUCUGUUUCAGAAGGAGAUACCGCCUUCUCAGUUAAAAGAUGCUGACACUAUUUUCAAAACAAUGCCUUGAAUCUGCUGUGGUGUGGGCAGGUAGGAAUUUUGUAUGAAGCUAUUAUUCAAGUAGAAGGAACUAAGGUCAAAGGCCAAAAAAAAACAUUUAAAAGUGUAUGUCUACAGAACUGCACCUGAGAGAAAACUAGAUAAUGUCACAAACUCGUUGGAAUUUUUCCAUGAAUUAUCUGUGUGCUGUUUAGGAUGGUUGGCUAUAGGGCCAAACCAAGGUUUAGUGAAUUCACCAAACAUUUAUGGGGUGCCAAAGUAUGCAAGACCUCAAACAUCAUGGUUAGAGGUAGCAAGCCAUGCAUAUUUGAAGAACCUCCACUUACACCUCUUCCUUUUGGUUCUACUCAGAAAGCCUCCUGAAAGUGUUAUCUUUGAUUAUUCUUUGUAUUUGUGUACCUUUAUCUUAUCAGAAGAUAGACAACAUUUAUACAUAUAAAAUUAAUAAAUUACCAAACAUUCGAACAAAUAGUUCAGUACAUAAUUCAAAUACAUUUGACAUUUAUCAAAGAAAUGCUGGGUGUUAUCAUCUAGGCAGAUAGCUGGAUUAACAUUUGGGGAAAGUUAUCACCCAUUUUUGAUAGGAAUCUCAGGGAAAUGUCCUGCAUCUCAUAGUCAUUGACGAUUGUAUGAAGACUUCCUACAGUUCGGAAAUCUCUUAGAAUGGGAUCUUAGAGAAAAGCCUGCCAACUAGAGGAUUUGUUAAACCAUGGACUUUCAAGUCACCAGAAGGACAAUGAAAGAAAAACUUUUAAAUAGAGAUUGAAGAGAGGAAAAUACAGAAAAAUAAGAGGUGGGAUGCACAGAAAAAAAGAGGAAAGCAAAGGAAUAAACUACAAGCAAUUACGCACUUAAAAAAGAAUUUUACAACUGAGAUAUCAAAGGUGGAGAUGCUGGGGAAUUCUUUGACUUUAAAAAACUGGAGUACAAGAUGAGGCCCUGUUUGACAACCAGAUUUCAUGUGACAAUAAGAACAUUCCAGCCAGAUAUAUGCACCUCAAGAUUUAUCUGAGCAAAAUGCUUAAAGGUCAAUAUGAAGAUGGAUGUUCCUCCCAGGCGAAUUUUGAUAAAAUACUUGUGUUGAUUAAAAAAAACACUAAUCCCAAUGCAAGUCAAUCCAGGCAUAUGGGUUUGGGUCGCUGCCCUUCCUGGCAGCAGCCUGCUCCAGGAGGGGUUUCCAAACACCAGCAGCUCCCAGCCAAUCAUCAAUUCUCUUCAUUUAAAUCGUGUGAGUAGGAAAUGUCACAGGAAUGCUGGGUUGGCAGGGAGCUGCCCACUCCUGCUCCGAACUGAGAAGGGAAUGAAACUAAAGGCAAACACAACUUGUAAACAAAUCUGGGAGAAGCUUUAUUACCAUCAUUAGCAGUGUGCAUGUCCUCUGCUGCUUCCAAAAAGAAUAAAAUUAAAACGACAGAAGACUCCAUCCUUCUUACGUUCUUGGCAUAUGGCGGACUGGGUCUCAUCCUGACUGUGGGCAUCUGCUAUGCCUGCCCAGCAUAUAUUGCCACUUGAAACUCCAAUCAUUAGUACUUCUUUAAAAUCUCAUUCAUUGUCUGCUUUCCCCACCGAAAGGUAAGGCCCAAAGCUCAGGCAUUUUUUUUUUUUGCUACCAGGGAUUGAACUCAGGUCCUUGCACUUGCGCAGCAGGCGGUGAAACCACUGAGCUAAAUCCCCGGCCCAGCUCAGGCAUUUUUAUAGCUUUCUUCCCCACUGUAUUUCCAAUGCCUGGAGGUUGAAUUAAUUUCUCUUCUGCUUCAUUCAUUCAUCCAACACAUGAAAAAACUAUAGGGCUCUACUGGGUUCCUGGAUGCUUCAAAACAGACAUUUGAGGGGAUUGGGGGGAAAUACAGCUAAGAAGUACUGAGAGUAAGUUCAAAAGCUGUAAUUGCAUUGGGAGAAAGUGGGCAAGGUAAGAAGAAGGACUGGCUGUGCAGAUGAGAAAGAUUCCAGUUUUAAGUAGGGUGGACAAGGUUGGCCUCACUGAGAAGGUAAGUAUGAGCAUGACAGGGAAAAGGAAUUUCCAGGCACUUGGAACAGCCAGUGCAAAUACCCUAGGGCAGGAAUAUGCCUGUUUUGUCUAAGGAACCGAAAAACAAAUAGUUGCUGGAGUGGAGUGAGUAGACUAUUUGCACCAGUAAAUAAAAAUCGAUGAAUCUGAGGCUUCCAAGGACCCUUUUGCCCCCUCUAUGACCACCACACAGAGGAAGCCCAUAAAAAGAAAACGCUAAGUGAAGAAAAGUACAGGCCCCUGGAUCCAGCCACACCUGAAGCAAUUUCUAACCAACACCUUUUAGGUGCUGGAAGUGACAGGGUCCCUUUCUGGAGCCAUUUGUAACUGAACAAGUCUUGGUAAAGCAUUAAAACUCCUUUGUCUGGGGCUCUUGAGGCACUGCAGCCAGUGUGGUGUCACAAUGAUGUCUGUGGGCAGGUGCUGGGGCUGUGGGAAGUCCAGCCUCGGAGGGCGAGGCCCGGAAUCUCUCUGCGCAGGGGAGGCCUGCGUAGCUGACAAGUGAGAAGGAAACUCUCAAUUUUGCAAUUUUCAAGUGUCAGAAGGAUAUUUUAUCACUACUCUGACGCCCAGCAUCAAAGGCAGAUUCUCCUGGUCUUCCAUCAACACAUCUGCUGUGUGAGGUUGGCCUUUGCACUUGCAUGAUCCAGAACUCACAGCUGAGAAUGAGGACUCCAGGUAUCAGCAAGGCCCGUUCGAAGGACUAGACAGACCCUCCUCCAGUUACCAAAAAUAUCCACACAAAGGUCCAAAAGAUUCUGUCCAAUUCAACAAGUGCCUCCAGCAGCUGCUCUUCAAGACCCUAGAAUGCACAGCUGUCCCCUGAAAAGGCAGGUACAAUAAUCUAGGGGGCAGGUGCCCCUUUCACUCAUCCUAAGCACUAUACUAAAGACACUAGGGUCCAGGGCAGAGCCCCCCACCACCAAGAGGAGAAAGACAUUCACAUAUGAGUACUUCCAUGUGACUACUCACCCAGUUGUUCAUUCAGCAAAUGGAGCAGGAAUUUCCUAUGUGCCCAGGACUGCUGGGGUUCUGACCCAGCAACCAGCAAGAUGGGCAAGAUCCCAGUUCAUGUAGAGCUUUGUCCUAUCAAAAAGAUAAAGGUGAUAAAGUGAAAUUAAUUGUACAAAGGAUAAUUUCUGAAAUUGGUAAGUGCAAGUAGGAAAACACAUCAGAGUAUUUCAAAAGAGAGGCACUGGGGAGGGUAGAGCAAGAUAGAGACAUUGGGGAAGGCUGAACUGAGAUCCAAAUGAGGAAAAGGACCCCCUUGCAGAGUUGAGGGGAAAAUGGGCUCUAGCAGAGGGUGUGGUGGGUCCAAAGGCCCAAGCAAGAACUAGCUCAGCACAACCAAGCACCAGAAUCCAGGCUGUGUGGUUGGAGCUCAGUGAGUAGAGGGGAGAGUGAAGGAAGUUGAGUGCAGUUGGGCCAGCCCGGAGGAUGCAGGGCCCAUCUACCAGCGAGGAUCUGGGAUCAGAUCACCUGUGAGUGAUGCUGACAUACUCCCACUGGGAUAUUUCAAUGUUCUCUCCUUAACCAGCCACUGGGUACAGACAAGAAAUGUGCCAGCAAUGCAAAAAGAUAAGGAGGGCUCUGUUUUUUCUCAAGAUAUGAACAAUGUCCCUUGUAUUUUUUUUAAAGAAGAAGAAAGUUUGCCAACAAGUAUGGUUCCAGACAGAAAAUAAAGAAGAACCACAAUAAAGGAGGGAAUGACUCCAUCCCCAACACCCAGUGGGCAGCAGCACCAAGGAGGGAGCAGUUGGUUCCAAGUAUAGGAUGUGAGGAGGGGAGAACAGGAUGUACAGAGGCAGGGGACAUUGACUACCUGAGAUGGGGGAACAUGUGGCCUUCUGAGAGGCAGUAGCAUGGGAUCAGGUGCAGCAAGUGAGCUGGGGGGAAUGAGGGAAGAGCCUGAGCUGUUGGAAGGCCUGUAUUAAAGGCAUGGUUCCCAGUGCAGUACUGUUGGGCACUGGUGGAACUAUUGAGAGGUGGGGCCUAUUGGGAGGUCCAUGAGUCAUUGGAGGUGUGGCUUCAAGCCAUGAAGUUCUGCCAAAUGUUCCCGCCAUGUAUGAUAGCUGCCUUGCCACAGGUCCAAAGCAGCAGGGCCAAUUACCCAUGGACUGGAACCUCCAAACUGAGUCAAAAUAAAUCUUUUCUCCUUCUAAGUUAGUUAUCUUAGGUAUUUUGUUGUAGUAACAUGAAGCUCACUGGUGCCUGGCCCUAUCAGCUUCUGUCCUCCUGAGAGAUCCUCAGUCUUUAGAAGGGGAGGUCUUCCCGGGUCUCUGGUUAGCAUCUGAGCUGUACCAGCUACUACACUGAAGGGAGGGGAGGUCCCUAGGUUAUAGCAAACCACACACCUGGCCCUGCCCAGCUGCUCCCCUGUCCACAGGUAAUUGGAAAAUCAAGAAGGAAGUUCAUUUCUCUGUAGCAGCUACAAAGAAGAAUGUGGGGGAAAAACAGCAGAAAAGGUCAGGUAUGUCCUUUAUCCACUAAACUCAUCAAUCAGGAGGAAUUGUGCUCUGAGCCUCCCUCAGGAGGAGAGGAAGUCCUCUGCAGUGUCAAGGCCCACAGAGCCACUCCAAAGUGGUCCACAACAAGGGAAUGUCCCUGCUCCACCUCCUGCUCCCUGGACCCUUUGGCCGAGCUUUCUAAAAAGAGAGGGCUAGGAGGGGCUGUGCCUCAGAAGUUAAAGGAAAGGCACCUUAAUGAGGCAUGAUGGGGUGACAGUCAAGGGAAUGGGCUCUGGACUCAGGAAGAUGUCAGUUCAAUCCAGACUCCACCACUAAUUCGCUGUGUGAUCUUGGGCCACUCAGAACCUCUAAGAACCUGUUUCCUUAUCUGCAUUUCAGGACUGGUGACAGUGAAGAUUCCUUGAGGAUUAGUUCAAUCAGCACCUGGGCUCCCCAUGCAUAUAGCUGUAGUUGUGGCUUUUAACAUUGUUUUUUUAACAUUAUUAUUACUGUAUCAGCCUUUAUGAUGACCCUCAUUGAUCUUUUCAUCCUGGUUUUCACACGCUCCCAUACUGAAUGGGGUUGAUUUAUAUACUAAUAGGAAAUGGCAGAAAUGACAUGAGGUGACUUCCAAGGCUGGGUCAUGAAGACAGAAUUGUGACUUCCCCCUUCCUCUUGGAUGACUCACUCUGGGGGAAGCCUGGCAUCACAUCAGGAGGACACACAAGCUGGCCUAUGAUAAAGUCCACAUGGUGAGACCCUGAGGCCUCCUGCUCAAGCCAACAUUAGCUUGUCAGCUAUGGGAACACACCAUCUUGGAGAUGGAGCCUCAGUUCCAUCACCUACUAGAUGACAGCAGCCCAGCCGACCUCUUGUCUGCAAGCUCAUGAGAGCUGAGCAGAACCGCUAGCUCAGCAGCUCCUGAAUUCUCAACUCAGAAAUGCUGUGAGGUCAUGGAUGUUUACUUUCUUUCAAGCUACCAUGUCUUGUGCUGCUUUGCUAUGCAUGAGUAGAUAAUUAGUAUAAUCAUUAUUCUGGAACUUUGAAGUGGCCGCUCCUCAGCCAACACUCGUGCAGGCUUCUCCUGCCUUCACGUGGACUGCUUUGCAGAGCCCAAGGGAGGCUAAUUCUUUCUACUCCAAGAAACUCUGGAUGAGAAGAGUCUCUGCCCUGGUCCUUUUUUGGUAUCACCACUUCCAGGGAGCUCUCCUGAUACCUCUUGGCCAGGAUGGGGCCCUUCCUCCAAAUGCCUGCAAAAGUGCUCUGUGCCACCCUCUCCCACACUUCUCACCACCUUGCCUCUUGGUUCUGGAGCCAGUAACAUUCUCACCCAUGCUUUGGCUCACAGCAAGCUCAAACCCACAUUUUCAGUCUACUCUAGAUGACUUCCAAGUCUUUAUGGCAAAGAGAUUGAAAUCCUGUCCUUUAAUCUUAUUUUAAGAUUAUUCAGCAAUAUUCAUAUUGUAUUUUCUUACCCUUAAUUUAUUUCUGCCCUUAUUUCCUCAUCUGUUUUGUGUGUUUGUUAUGCAAAUUAUCACACAUCCUUUGUGAGAUGAAGCAGCAGUAAGCAAGUCACUGAAGGCCUGGGGGAAGAUACAAACAUCAUCUGCUGACAGUAGGCCAUAUACUCCAGAUAGCCUUGAUCUCCCCUGCUCCUGCUCCUCACUUCUCUAAUGGUGACACCACAUUCUCCUGUGGCUGGAGGUGCAUUGAAUAACUUUCUCAGCUUCUCAGCUGCACAUCAGAUUUGCAGUUACUGUUUGGUUUUCCAUGGCUGUUUUCCAAACUCUAGGGUGAGACAGACCAACAAGCUGUUCUGGAAGGAGACAGCGGAGUGAGCAAGGGGCUUGCUGUCCCCUGGGGUGGUGCUACAGGACCAGCCCAAAGUGUCCACUGCACUGAAGAAGCAGCCUCUCAACAGCCACCAGAGCAGGGUUGAAAACCCCUGAGGUACCAUCCCAUACCUACCAUUUUACAAAAGAAGAUGUGAUACAUCUCCCCAUACUACCUCCCUGUGGCUCUCCUGAUGCCCUGGAAACCAAAUGCUGCUGACCCUCUUCCCUGCUCUCUGGUGGCAGCAAGACCACAACAUUUCCACCCACAUGAGCAUCUUUCCUUCUCUCCCUUGGGACAUUGUGGCUUCCCACCACCACUUUCAGCCACCAAACCACAAGAAGAUAGUCACAACGUCCCCUCUGUUUGCUGACUUUCCUUAAGGUCACCCUUUGUGAUAUGUCACCAAGAGCGAACAAAUCUUCACUGUGUCCAUUCUAUCAAAACUUGUUUCUAUAUGCAUCUGUCAUCACUGAUUGCAUUUGAAUGGUCUUGGUCUCUAUUUUAAAUAAAAGAUUUAUGCCUUA